AAACUAUACACACUUAUAAAAUAUUACUAGUAGAAAUUCAAGAAGAAUACAUAAAUGGAGGACUAUAUAUGUUUAUGAAUUGGAAGACAAUAUUGUAAAGAUGUAAUUUUCCCCAAAAUUUACUUUUGAUUCUAUUUGAUAUUUGAUUUCUAGUUUCAGUGCAAUUGCAAUAAAAGUUCUAUCAAAUUUUAUGCAAAUUAAGUUCAUAUAGAAUGCAAAAGGUCAAAAGUAGUAAAGCUAAUCCUGAAGAAUAAAGUUGAAAUAUCAUGAGAUAUCAAGUUUUUAUUAUAAAGUCACAUAACAAAAACAGAGUAGUAUUGGUGAAAAGACCAACGAAGAGAUCAAAGGGACAGAAUAGAAUGUCCAGAAACAGAUCCACGGUUACACAGUCACGUGAUUAAUGACAAAGGCCCUCUGCAAUUCAGUGGAGAAGGGAUUGUCUAUUCAAUAAAUGGUGCUAAGGUAAUUGAAUAUCCAUAUGGGAAUAAAAUGAACCUUGAUCCAUGCCUCAAACCAAACACAAAAAUCAAUUCCAGAUGGAUGAUAGACCUAAAAUGCAAAAGGAAAAGCAAUAAAGCUUCUCAAAGAUAACACAAGAGAAUAACUUCCUAACCUGGGGGUAAGCAAAUAUUUCUUAAACUGGAUAACACACAAAAAAAAGCCAGUAACCAUAUAAGAAAAUAAUUGCUGCAUUAGACUUCAUAAACAUAAAAUUGUUUGCUUAUUAACAGUGUGAAGUAGGAGUAUUAUUUGUAAUUUGUAUACCUAACAAGGAACCCAUGAAGCAGUUGUCUACUGACAAAUGAAGUGAUAAGGGAUGCUGCUAGUACAGGUGGGGCGCUUAUAGCAUCUGUUACAGUCCACCAACUUAGAGAUGCUUUUCAUACCAAGUGAAAGUGCGUCAUGACCAUUCAGUAGAUUAACAUUGCUAAUGGUGUUUUCUAGGAUAAUUUCAUCAUAGUCUAGUCUUCUAGAGUUGAUAUAUGAGAACCACCAAACAUGGUAUCAAAUUUCUAAGUGUUAACAUUACUUGUUUUGAGGUCCACUGUUUGCUUCUUAUCCAUUUAUCCAUUCAUGAGCUCAGCACCUGAGGAUUUCCAGUGAAUCUGGAGCUGUUUUACAUGCGAGAGGAACAAAACCAAAUGGUACCUGUACCCACAACAUCAGUCAGCAAUUGCAGAUGGGAUGGUAAGAGCUCUGCUGGACCUCCACACAGAUGCCAAGGCAACAGGGACAGAGAGCAGGAAAUCAGACUGGGGAGUCAGAGAAGUCUUCCAGGAAGAGAAGCUUCUCGAGCUGAGUUUCAAAAGACAAGUAGGAGUAAGCAAGAUUCAUGUGGGGGCAGGGGGAAUAAAGCAACACUGGUAGACAGAGCAGUGUGUGCAGAGCCAAGGGCAUCAGAUGAUGUAAGUCAUAUAUACCUUUUAGGAAAAGUAAUAUUUAUGGCAAAGAAGAGAAGGUGGCCAGAUUUAAAAGCAGGAACAUCUAUUGUGAGCCUUGUCUGUUCCAGACACAAGAAUGAGAAGUGGACUUCAACAUGGUCAUGGCCCUAGAGGAACUGAAUGCCCAGAAGCGGACACAGACAGGUAAAGCAAUAAGAAUGAAAGAGGCGCGGUAACAGAUGAAGGUGCAAAGUGCCAUUUGAGCAUGACUUCAGCAAUGAUUCCUCAGGCUUUGACUGACUCUAGCUCUCUUAGGUAGUAGUCAGUACAACAGAGACUCCAAUUCAUUACCUCUGGCUGGGGACUAGGAUUUCUCAGGACCUGUAAAUUGGUAGCAAUAUGGGAAGAGUGUACUUUACUCUUUUCUUAUUUCUAGUUUUCACUCCAGCCCAGUCAAUAGCACUUUAAUAGAAUAAAGUACUUUGUCCCAGUAGGGGCCAUUGUCAAGUGAAUUGCAAUGAGAAUUUUAAGAUUACUAAAUCCACACCAAAAAUCUUUCAUAUUUAUCUGAAGAGCAUGUAAUUAUAAAGAAAAUACAUACCUUGGGAAUGAAUAAUUGGAUCAUAAAAUCCAUCAAAUGUCAUUUUAUUCAUUUUGCCCAAGUGUCUGUUUGAAACAAUUCUAAGUGGUGUGACGUCAAUAUCUAUUGAAUGCCAACACUAUGAAGGGAUAUAUAAAUUAGCCUCCGAGAGAAUUAAUAGCACACACAUACAUCUCCACUAAAUAUGUUUCAGAUUUACUUAUUAUGUAUCCACUAAAUGUACAGGCUUUUUAAAGUUACAUUUUUGGGCAAGUCUCUUUUAAAACCACAAGUUUAUUUAUUUAUUUAUUUAGAGCUGUAGUGGAGCCCAUACCAGGACUGUUGUAUCUGGCGGUGACAGCAAGCGGCUCAUAUUACCACUACGAUGACCCCCAGACAAGAGCACAAAGAGCCUGGCUUGUUCUAGGCCACCAAGACUUAGGAGGGCCCGCUGCUGGUUCUUCAAGUAUUUCUCAGGCAAUUCUUUCACGCUGUUCUCUCUGUGGGUUGCUUCAUAUGGAGCUGAUGAAGGAAGAGCUAUUUCAGGGCCAGAGUCUGAAGUUCUGUACAGCCCCUCACAGACCCCUGGGGGUCCAGACACCACUGUGGGUGGCUCUUCCUCCUCAACCUGGAGUGGGCUGGGUUAAAUCCCUGCCACCACACUGUACCCCACCAUCAGCCUUUCUCUCCUGUUGUUGGGGAGACAUAUUUCUCCACGUUCACUUGAUAAAGUAAUAGUAAUUACUUUUUAGAAAGAAGAUCCUAACAAGUUGAAUAUUUUUAAAUUUAGCAACUGUAGGAAGAGAAAGAAAAAAACUGUCCUUGAUUAUUCACCUAACAAGUCAUGCAGUUUUCACCAAACACCCCAGUGAGGCAGGGAUUAUUAUCAGGUCCUACAUAGGAAGCAGAAGUACUUAAAACCAUAGAAACUGCAUGGAUUCAAAUCCUGGCUUUGGUGCUUCCUAGCUGUGUGACAUUGAGAAAAUAACAUCCAUGCCCUGUUUCCUCAUUGAUGAAAAUGGGAAAAAAAAUGUUUUAUUUCCUAAGAUUAUUUUAAGGAUUAAAUAAAAUAAUAUCUUAAAAGCACUUAGAAUAGUACUUGGCAUGUUAAGCACCCAGAUAAGAGUAACUGUUAUUAAGUCAUCUUAUAUAGGAGGAAACUGAAAUUCAGACAUUCCUAAAGUUACAGAGAUGUUGGGAAUAGAAUUGGGAAUUGAACCCAGAUCUGGAUUGCUCACACUCAUUCAUUAAUUCAACAAGCUCUUUCCAUUACCAUUAUUGAUUGUUACUGGAACACAAUUCACCAUGGGUCUCAUGUACUUCAGCACCUCCUACAAGUGGGGCACUGUCCUUUGUUCUGAACUACCUGUUUAAGGACCUUUACAAAGCAAAUAAGCCUUGGAAAAUAGAGAUAGUGCUUCCCCCAGAGCAAAGAGUAGACGUGCUUACUGUCUAUUACAAAAGAGUUGCAACCUACUGUAUGCAUAGGCAUUCAUCUGGCCCAAUUGGCACUACCCUAUGGGGCUUGGGGACAAGGGAAACUGACACAAAUGUACUGAUGCUCAUGUGGCUCACCAGUCUAUGCUAUCUCUGAUUGAAGAAGCUAUCUUCAGUCAGCAUCCAUGAAACUCUGAUGGGCUAAUGUAGGAGUCUUUUUGGGCUGCUGUAACAAAAUACCACAGAGUGGGUGGCUUACAAACAACAGGAAUUUAUUUCGCACAUUCUGGAGACUGGGAAAUUCAAGAUCAAGAGUCAGCAUAAUGAAGGCCCUCUUCCUGGUCCAGAGAUGGUGCCUUCUUGCUGGGUCCUCACAUGGUAGAUGCAGUGAGGGAUCUCUCAGGAGCCCCUUUUAUUAAAGCACUAAUCUCAUUCAUCAUGGCUCCACCUCCCUGACCUAAGCACCUACCUAAAGCCUAUUUCUAAUACCAUCAUCUUUGGAGGUUAGAAUUUCAAUAUAUGAAUUUGGGAGGAACACUCUCAGACCAUGGAAGCUAACUUGUUAGCUUCCGAGUGUGGUAAAUCUGACUCUUCUUGGUUCUCAGCAGUACUGGUGAUGAGAACGGGAUGUUGACAGAUAUCUGGCUUUGCUUUGCUUUCUAAAGGAGAGAAAAGGGCCAUGUGGGGCAUGUGUGACGACAUGAGAAGCCUCCCUGAGAUGGGAGUAGAAGCCUUCCACCACAGUGGUGGGCCAAUGGGGAGUAAAAUGAGCAAAAAGAGGUAAGACUGAACAAGCACCCAAACAGUGCUGUGCAUUUUGCACACUCUCCUUCAGAGGAGAGGAGGAAGAGACCUUACCACUACAGAAAAGCAGCAAGCCCACAGCUCUAGUCAAAAGCCAACAGUGCCCGCUACUGAGCAUGGAGUCCCCAAGCUGAAAGGAAUGGUGUCAGCCAUGGGCAUGUGGAGCUCUGGGUGGACUGAAAGCAUCGGAAGAUGGAAUGAGAACAAGUGGCCACUGGAAAGUGGAAGUGAGAGCAAAGCCUUGGUUAGUGACCCUACCUGCCGCCUGGUCCCUCCCUCUCUCUACCCUGAUCAUAGCUGUUUUAAAGCAAAGUGAUUAAGGGUGGGAUUGAAGGCCAAGUACAUCAGUCUGAGAAUACUAGGGAACUUCAGGGAAAGAGAAGGAAUCUAACUAUAAGGCACUGCUGGAUACAGGCACUCAAGUCACUAUGACAGCUAAUUAUAUACCAUGAGAGAAGCGAGGACCCUGAUUCAACCAAUGGGAUCCUCACAAGGUUAACAGCGAAUAAAAGAAGCUAAAAUGACCUUGAGUCUCAGUGACUCAUGAUUUUGCCUAUUGGAGCCUCUGGUGAAGGGAAGCAGCUUCUACUCAGAGGUGCCCCUUGGGGUUCUGGACUUGUCACCUUCCUGACAUGACUGACAACUACAUCCUUCUGGGAAGAAGCUAUUAGCUUGCUAUAGGGCUCUGGUCAAAACUGAACACCUGACCCACAGAGGCCUUGGACUCUCUGGUAUUCCUGUUUUAAUAUGGUCAACUAGAACUCAACAGUUAACCAAUACACCCUAUUG
rnacentral:lncRNA from 1 species